rnacentral:lncRNA from 1 species
AAUAUUUUUGAGAUAUUAGAAAUGACAUAAAUGUAUAAAAUAGAAAAAUAAUAAUAUGCAUGUGACCUAAAUGAAAGUGAUACUCACACAUAGUACUUACAUAAAAUAUGUAGCAAAACAUUCUUAUUGAAUCAUAAAACAACAUUAUAUACUAACUAAAAAAAUGACAAAUUGGGCCGAACCAUAUCACAGUUAUGGGCCAAGGCCGCAUCAGGAAAUUCAUUUAGAAUCUGAUUAUUCUCAGCCACCCAUAUUAAUUUAGUAGACCUUUUACCCUUACAUCUCAUAUUCUCAUAACAAUUUAAUACCUCAUACCAAAAC